AGUGAACGCUGGCGGCGUGCCUAAUACAUGCAAGUCGAACGAAGUGGCGCACGGGUGAGUAAUAUCUAGUUAAUCUGCCCUACACAGCGGCACAACAGUUGGGAACGACCGCUAAUACCUCAUAGUGUAGGAUGUGACUAUAUCGUAUCAGCUAGUUGGUAAGGUAAUGGCUUACCAAGGCUAUGACGCGUAACUGGUCUGAGAGGAUGAUCAGUCAAAAUGGAACUGAGACACGGUCCAAACUCCUACGGGAGGCCGCAGUAAGGAAUAUUGCGCAAUUGGGGAAACCCUGGAGCAGCAACGCCGCGUGGAGGAUGACACUUUUCGGAUCGGAAAGCUCUGUUGUUAGAGAAGUGGUAGGAGUGGAAAAUCUACCAAGUGACGGUAACUAACCAGAAAGGGACGGCUAACUACGUGCCAGCAGCCGCGGUAAUUC
rnacentral:rRNA from 1 species